GUCGAACGCUGGCGGCGUGCUUAACACAUGCAAGUCGAACGGAAAGGCCCUGCUUUUGUGGGGUGCUCGAGUGGCGAACGGGUGAGUAACACGUGAGUAACCUGCCCUUGACUUUGGGAUAACUUCAGGAAACUGGGGCUAAUACCGGAUAGGAGCUCCUGCUGCAUGGUGGGGGUUGGAAAGUUUCGGCGGUUGGGGAUGGACUCGCGGCUUAUCAGCUUGUUGGUGGGGUAGUGGCUUACCAAGGCUUUGACGGGUAGCCGGCCUGAGAGGGUGACCGGCCACAUUGGGACUGAGAUACGGCCCAGACUCCUACGGGAGGCAGAAGUGGGGAAUAUUGCACAAUGGGCGGAAGCCUGAUGCAGCAACGCCGCGUGCGGGAUGACGGCCUUCGGGUUGUAAACCGCUUUCGCCUGUGACGAAGCGUGAGUGACGGUAAUGGGUAAAGAAGCACCGGCUAACUACGUG
rnacentral:rRNA from 1 species